rnacentral:rRNA from 1 species
GAUGACGCUGGCGGUCUGCUUAACACAUGCAAGUCGAACGAACUCCUUACGGGAGUGAGUGGGCGGAACGGGUGAGUAACGCGUGAGAAUCUGGCUGUGGGUCGGGGACAACCACUGGAAACGGUGGCUAAUACCGGAUGAGCCGAAAAGGUAAAAGAUUUAUUGCCCACAGAUGAGCUCGCGUCUGAUUAGCUAGUUGGUAAGGUAAAAGCGUACCAAGGCGACGAUCAGUAGCUGGUCUGAGAGGAUGAGCAGCCACACUGGGACUGAGACACGGCCCAGACUCCUACGGGAGGCAGCAGUGGGGAAUUUUCCGCAAU